rnacentral:miRNA from 2 species
GACCUUAUUCAGACAAAGCUCU